rnacentral:tRNA from 4 species
GGGCCUGUAGCUUAGCCUGGUAGAGCGCCCGGCUCAUAACCGGGCGGCCAAGGGUUCAAAUCCCUUCGGGCCCAC